GUGGGGAAUAUUGGACAAUGGGCGAAAGCCUGAUCCAGCAAUGCCGCGUGAGUGAAGAAGGCCUUCGGGUUGUAAAGCUCUUUUACCCGGGAAGAUAAUGACGGUACCAGCAGAAGAAGCCCCGGCUAACUCCGUGCCAGCAGCCGCGGUAAUACGGAGGGGGCUAGCGUUGUUCGGAAUUACUGGGCGUAAAGCGCACGUAGGCGGAUUGGAAAGUUGGGGGUGAAAUCCCGGGGCUCAACCCCGGAACUGCCUCCAAAACUACCAGUCUUGAGGUCGAGAGAGGUGAGUGGAAUUCCGAGUGUAGAGGUGAAAUUCGUAGAUAUUCGGAGGAACACCAGUGGCGAAGGCGGCUCACUGGCUCGAUACUGACGCUGAGGUGCGAAAGCGUGGGGAGCAAACAGGAUUAGAAACCCCUGUAGUCC
rnacentral:rRNA from 1 species